rnacentral:rRNA from 1 species
CAGUAGCCGCGGUAAUACGUAGGGGGCAAGCGUUAUCCGGAAUUACUGGGUGUAAAGGGAGCGUAGACGGUUAAACAAGUCUGAAGUGAAAUGCCGGGGCUCAACCCCGGAGCUGCUUUGGGAACUGUAGAACUGGAGUGUCGGAGGGGUAAGCGAAAUUCCCAGUGUAGCGGUGAAAUGCGUAGAUAUUGGGAGGAACACCGGCGGCGAAGGCGGCUUACUGGACGACAACUGACGUUGAGGCUCGAAGGCGUGGGUAGCAAACAGGAUUAGAUACCCCAGUAGUCCCUGUCUCUUAUAC